rnacentral:lncRNA from 1 species
CGGCUCUCUGGUCCCUUGCUUUGGUGAGCUCGUGGCCAUUCCAGCUCUUCUCCCGCCUCUGGGACAACUGACCUCACACCUUGUUCUGAGCAUUUGUCCCCCCUGCGAGCCAAGCGCGGAGCCCCUGAAGACAACGGCGCACCCACCGAAGAUGAGCAGGCAGAGCCAUCACUAGCGCUGAGUUUCCGGGAGCUUUCGUGUCUGACUCCGCGUGUUUCUGGGCAGCGGCUGGUUCUUCCACGGAUGUGAAACCAGAAACCCUGCCUCAGGCAGCCUCAUCGGUCUUCCCCUGGCGCACAGGGCCAAGACUCCUCUUCCCGACUGUUCCACAGCCGCCAGGGACAGCCGCCACAGAGGGGCACUCAGGCGGCCCAUGGCCUGUCCCUUCACUGGGAGGUUUGGCGGCUGAUGAAAUCAGGCUUCUGUGGCAUUUUUAAUGACGUGGGAAAAACCUAAUGGUAAAGUGCCGACUACGAGUCCUCAGCAAGAGUAUGUGAUGACGCAGUGUGCACGGCACAGAAGGCACCCGGCCCGGGCUUGCACGGAGCCAGAGGAAGUGCUCCGGUUUU